UACGUAGGGGGCAAGCGUUGUCCGGAAUUAUUGGGCGUAAAGGGUGCGUAGGCGGCCUUUUAAGUCAGAUGUGAAAGACCACGGCUUAACCGUGGGGUUGCAUUUGAAACUGGAGGGCUUGAGUAUCGGAGAGGGUAGUGGAAUUCCCAGUGUAGCGGUGGAAUGCGUAGAUAUUGGGAGGAACACCAGUGGCGAAGGCGACUACCUGGACGAAAACUGACGCUGAGGCACGAAAGCUAGGGGAGCAAACAGGAUUAGAUACCCUGGUAGUCCUAGCCGUAAACGAUGGGUACUAGGUGUAGGAGGUUUCGAUACCUUCUGUGCCGCAGUUAACGCAAUAAGUACCCCGCCUGGGGAGUACGUGCGCAAGCAUGAAACUCAAAGGAAUUGACGGGGGCCCGCACAAGCGGUGGAGCAUGUGGUUUAAUUCGAAGCAACGCGAAGAACCUUACCAGGUCUUGACAUCCCUUGACCACCUCAGAGAUGAGGUUUCUCUUCGGAGCAAGGAGACAGGUGGUGCAUGGUU
rnacentral:rRNA from 1 species